AAACGACUCUCGGCAACGGAUAUCUCGGCUCUCGCAUCGAUGAAAAACGUAGCGAAAUGCGAUACUUGGUGUGAAUUGCAAAAUCCCGUGAACCAUCGAGUCUUUGAACGCAAGUUGCGCCCCAGGCCUUUGGUCCGAGGGCACGUCUGCCUGGGUGUCACGCAUUGUUGCCCCCCCAAACCCCGUGUAAGGGGAUCGUUGGGAGGGGCAGAAAUUGGCCUCCCGUGCGCCCCCCGCUCGCGGUUGGCCCAAAUUCGAGCCAGGGGCGACCGUGCCGCGACGAUCGGUGGUGAAACAAGCCUAUCGAGCUCCCGUCGCGUGCUCGCGUCCUGUUGUUACUGGCUCGCGUCCCCUUCGAGCCCCUCCUGUUGCAGGCGCUGCUCGCUCUGCGACCCCAGGUCAGGCGGGACUACCCGCUGAGUUUAAGCAUAUCAAUAAGCGGAGGAAAAGAAACUUACCAGGAUUCCCCUAGUAACGGCGAGCGAACCGGGAAGAGCCC
rnacentral:rRNA from 1 species